AUUACUAAGCGGAGGAAAAGAAACUAACUAGGAUUCCCUCAGUAGCUGCGAGCGAACAGGGAAGAGCCCAGCACCGAAUCCCGCGGCCGAUACCGGGCGCCGGGAAAUGUGGUGUUAGGGAGGAUCCGUUUAUCCCGAGGUCGUGCGGUGCGUCCAAGUCCUUCUUGAACGGGGCCACAGCCCAUAGAGGGUGCCAGGCCCGUAGCGACCGCUGCCGAUCGCGGGAGGAUCUCUCCUCAGAGUCGGGUUGCUUGAGAGUGCAGCCCUAAGUGGGUGGUAAACUCCAUCUAAGGCUAAAUAUGACCACGAGACCGAUAGCGAACAAGUACCGUGAGGGAAAGUUGAAAAGCACUUUGAAGAGAGAGUUCAAGAGUACGUGAAACCGUUCAGGGGUAAACCUGAGAAACCCGAAAGGUCGAAAGGGGAAAUUCAUUCGCGUCUCGACCGUCGGAGCGGAGCGUUCGUGCGACGGACGGCGUACGCGUCGUCCGCGCCUUUCGUUCCGCGAUCCGGCGUCGAACGCGUGCACUUUUCCCCUAGUAGGACGUCGCGAUCCGUUGGGUGUCGGUCUAAGGCUCGCGGUGGAGCCCGAGCGUGCGUCUUCGGACGUUCGCGCUCGGACCCGCGGUGUCCCGGCCGACCCGCUCGACGGUAUACAGAUGGCGCGGGGCCGCAAAUUCAAUUUGCGUUCGGCCCGCGGCAAGCGCGUACGGUGUUGACGGCGAUCGGACCUGGUGCCGAUCCCGUCCCCGGACGACUGUUGGCCGCGGUGCUCUCGAACAGACCUCGUUCUCGAAACGCCGAUCUGCGACGCUAUAGCUUUGGGUACUUUCAGGACCCGU
rnacentral:rRNA from 1 species